rnacentral:ncRNA from 1 species
AUAACGUUUCAUGGUCGCCGCCAAAUCGGCGACCGGUUUUGACAGACCGAAAU